rnacentral:tRNA from 1 species
GGCCCCGUAGCUCAGUUGGAUAGAGCAGCGGUUUCCUAAACCGCGUGUCGUCGGUUCAAUUCCGGCCGGGGCCACCA